rnacentral:rRNA from 1 species
UAAAUCAGUUAUCGUCUAUUUGAUAGUACCUUACUACUUGGAUAACCGUGGUAAUUCUAGAGCUAAUACAUGCUGAAAACCCCGACUUCGGAAGGGAUGUAUUUGUUAGAUUAAAAGCCAAUGCCCUUCGGGGCCCCCUGGUGAUUCAUGACAACUUCUCGAAUCGCACGGCCUUGCGCCGGCGAUGGUUCAUUCAAAUUUCUGCCCUAUCAACUUUCGACGGCUGGGUCUUGGCCAGCCGUGGUGACAACGGGUAACGGAGGGUUAGGGCUCGACCCCGGAGAAGGAGCCUGAGAAACGGCUACUACAUCCAAGGAAGGCAGCAGGCGCGCAAAUUACCCAAUCCCGACACGGGGAGGUAGUGACAAUAAAUACUGAUACAGGGCUCUUUUGGGUCUUGUAAUUGGAAUGAGUACAAUUUAAUUCCCUUAACGAGGAACAAUUGGAGGGCAAGUCUGGUGCCAGCAGCCGCGGUAAUUCCAGCUCCAAUAGCGUAUAUUAAAGUUGUUGCAGUUAAAAAGCUCGUAGUUGAACCUUGGGCCUGGCUGGCCGGUCCGCCUCACCGCGUGCACUGGUCCGGCCGGGCCUUUCCCUCUGGGGAGCCGCAUGCCCUUCGCUGGGCGUGCCGGGGAACCAGGACGUUUACUUUGAAAAAAUUAGAGUGUUCAAAGCAGGCUUAUGCUCGGAUACAUUAGCAUGGAAUAAUGGAAUAGGACGCGCGGUUCUAUUUUGUUGGUUUCUAGGACCGCCGUAAUGAUCAAUAGGGACAGUCGGGGGCAUCAGUAUUCAGUUGUCAGAGGUGAAAUUCUUGGAUUUACUGAAGACUAACUACUGCGAAAGCAUUUGCCAAGGAUGUUUUCAUUAAUCAGGAACGAAAGUUAGGGGAUCGAAGACGAUCAGAUACCGUCGUAGUCUUAACCAUAAACUAUGCCGACUAGGGAUCGGACGGUGUUAUUCUUUGACCCGUUCGGCACCUUACACGAAAGUACAAGUUUCUGG